GACGGAGGAUGCAAGUGUUAUCCGGAAUCACUGGGCGUAAAGCGUCUGUAGGUGGUUUAAUAAGUCAACUGUUAAAUCUUGAGGCUCAACUUCAAAAUCGCAGUCGAAACUAUUAGACUAGAGUGUGGUAGGGGAGACUGGAAUUCCUGGUGUAGCGGUGGAAUGCGCAGAUAUCAGGAGGAACACCGAUGGCGAAGGCAGGUCUCUGGGCCAUUACUGACACUGAGAAGCGAAAGCAUGGGGAGCGAACAGG
rnacentral:rRNA from 1 species